GAGUAAUGCGUGACCAACCUGCCCCAUGCUCCAGAAUAGCUCUUGGAAACGGGUGGUAAUGCUGGAUGCUCCAACUUGACGCAUGUCUUGUUGGGAAAGUGUUUAGUGGCAUGGGAUGGGGUCGCGUCCUAUCAGCUUGUAGGCGGGGUAAUGGCCCACCUAGGCUUCGACGGGUAGCCGGCCUGAGAGGGCGGACGGCCACAUUGGGACUGAGAUACGGCCCAGACUCCUACGGGAGGCAGCAGGUC
rnacentral:rRNA from 1 species